rnacentral:rRNA from 1 species
AGAGUUUGAUCAUGGCUCAGAAUCAACGCUGGCGGCGCGCCUAACACAUGCAAGUCGCACGAGAAAGCGGGAGCAAUCUCGCAAGUAAAGUGGCGUACGGGUGAGUAACACGUGGAUCAUCUACCCUAGAGUGGGGAAUAACGCUGGGAAACCGGCGCUAAUACCGCAUAAUCCCGAGAGGGGAAAGCAGUAAUGCGCUCAAGGAGGAGUCCGCGGCCGAUUAGCUAGUUGGUAGGGUAAAAGCCUACCAAGGCUGUGAUCGGUAGCCGGCCUGAGAGGGCACACGGCCACACUGGCACUGAAACGCGGGCCAGACUCCUACGGGAGGCAGCAGUGGGGAAUCUUGCACAAUGGGGGAAACCCUGAUGCAGCGACGCCGCGUGAGCGAUGAAGCCCUUCGGGGUGUAAAGCUCUUUCGGCAGGGAAGAUUAUGACGGUACCUGCAGAAGCAGCUGCGGCUAACUACGUGCCAGCAGCCGCGGUAAUACGUAGGCAGCAAGCGUUGUUCGGAGUUACUGGGCGUAAAGGGUGUGUAGGCGGCCUGUUAAGUUCCGUGUGAAAUCUCCCGGCUCAACCGGGAGGGUGCGCGGAAAACUGGCGGGCUAGAGUGCGGGAUGGGAGAGUAGAAUUCCUGGUGUAGCGGUGAAAUGCGUAGAUAUCAGGAGGAAUACCUGUGGUGUAGACGGCUCUCUGGACCGCAACUGACGCUGAGACACGAAAGCGUGGGUAGCAAACAGGAUUAGAUACCCUAGUAGUCC